UACGCCCCAAAGAAGCUCCUGUACUUCUUGGGGCGUAGGGCGUUAUACAGCGCGUUCGUACGCACUUUAAAACACUCAGGUGAGAACCGUGCCCAUAGGGAAACAUUGGUUUUUGCCUGUUGAGCAUUUUACAGCGCAUAGGAAUGCGCUGUAAAACGCUCAGGUGUGAACCCAGCCUUAGUGUAGUUCAAUUCUU